GACGUAGGGCGCGAGCGUUGUCCGGAUUUAUUGGGCGUAAAGAGCUCGUAGGCGGCUUGUCGCGUCGUCCGUGAAAACUUGGGGCUCAACCCCAAGCUUGCGGUCGAUACGGGCAGGCUAGAGUUCGGUAGGGGAGACUGGAAUUCCUGGUGUAGCGGUGAAAUGCGCAGAUAUCAGGAGGAACACCGGUGGCGAAGGCGGCUUGCUGGGCCAGUUCUGACGCUGAGGAGCGAAAGCGUGGGGAGCGAACAGG
rnacentral:rRNA from 1 species